GAUGAACGCUGGCGGCGUGCCUAAUACAUGCAAGUCGAGCGAACAGACGAGGAGCUUGCUCCUUUGACGUUAGCGGCGGACGGGUGAGUAACACGUGUAUAACCUACCUAUAAGACUGGGAUAACUUCGGGAAACCGGAGCUAAUACCGGAUAACAUGUUGAACCGCAUGGUUCAACAGUGAAAGACGGUCUUGCUGUCACUUAUAGAUGCAUCCCCGCCGCAUUAGCUAGUUGGUAAGGUAACGGCUUACCAAGGCAACGAUGCGUAGCCGACCUGAGAGGGUGAUAGGCCACAUGGGAACGGAGACACGGUCCAGACUCCUAAGGGAGGCAGCAGUAGGGAAUCUUCCGCAAUGGGCGAAAGCCUGACGGAGCAACGCCGCGUGAGUGAAGAAGGUCUUCGGAUCGUAAAACUCUGUUAUUAGGGAAGAACAAAUGUGUAAGUAACUAUGCACGUCUUGACGGUACCUAAUCAGAAAGCCACGGCUAACUACGUG
rnacentral:rRNA from 1 species